GGCGCGAUCGCAUAGUGGCCGUGCAACGGAUUGCAAAUCCGUCUACCCCAGUUCGAUUCUGGGUCGCGCCUCCA
rnacentral:tRNA from 5 species